rnacentral:tRNA from 1 species
GGGCCGCUAGCUCAACUGGCAGAGCAGGUGACUCUUAAUCACCAGGUUGGAGGUUCGAGUCCUCCGCGGCUCACCA